rnacentral:rRNA from 1 species
GACGAACGCUGGCGGCGUGCUUAACACAUGCAAGUCGAACGGAAAGGCCCUGCUUUUGUGGGGUGCUCGAGUGGCGAACGGGUGAGUAACACGUGAGUAACCUGCCCUUGACUUUGGGAUAACUUCAGGAAACUGGGGCUAAUACCGGAUAGGAGCUCCUGCUGCAUGGUGGGGGUUGGAAAGUUUCGGCGGUUGGGGAUGGACUCGCGGCUUAUCAGCUUGUUGGUGGGGUAGUGGCUUACCAAGGCUUUGACGGGUAGCCGGCCUGAGAGGGUGACCGGCCACAUUGGUACUGAGAUACGGCCCAGACUCCUACGGGAGGCAGCAGUGGGGAAUAUUGCACAAUGGGCGGAAGCCUGAUGCAGCAACGCCGCGUGCGGGAUGCCGGCCUUCGGGUUGUAAACCGCUUUCGCCUGUGACGAAGCGUGAGUGACGGUAAUGGGUAAAGAAGCACCGGCUAACUACGUG